GACGGGGGGGGGCAAGUGUUCUUCGGAAUGACUGGGCGUAAAGGGCACGUAGGCGGUGAAUCGGGUUGAAAAGUGAAAAGUCGCCAAAAAAAGUGGCGGGAAUGCUCUCGAAAACCGAUUCACUUGAGUGAGACAGAGGAAAAGUGGGAAAUUCCUGGUGUAGCGGUGAAAAUGCGUAGAUAUCAGGAGGGAAACACCCGGUGGUGUAGACGGCUUUUUCUGGGACCGUAAACUG
rnacentral:rRNA from 1 species